GUAUCAAUUAGAAGUGAAUGGGUGUAAAAAUAAAGAAGUUAUAGUAAAAGGCAAUUUUGGGAGGGUGUGGCCUAUGUGGGCGGGGUGCCCCAGGGUUGGUAAUGGGGCCAUGCAUAGUUGAGAUUGACCGUAUUGUCAUAAGAGAGGUUCAGUAUCAAUUUGAAGUGAAUCAGUGUAGUAAUGAAGAAGUUAAUGUAAAAUAACCUAAAUUUUUUUUAUAGUAAAUGGAUUUUUUUUGGUGGGUGUGGCCUAUGUGGGCGGGCGCCCCAGGGUUGGGAUUGGGGCCAUGCAUAGUUGAGAUUGACCCUAAUGUCAUAACAAAAGUUCAGUAUCAAUUUGAAGUGAAUCCGUGUAGAAAUGAAAAAAUUAUAGUAAAUGGAAAUUUUUGGUGGGUGUGGCCUAUGUGGGCGGGGCGCCCCAGGGUUGGGAAUGGGGCCAUGCAUGGUUGAGAUUGACCGUAUUGUCAUAGGUGAGGUCCAGUAUCAAUUUGAAGUGAAUCGGUGUAGAAAUAAAGAAGUAAAUGUAAAAUAACCUAAAAAAAUGAGUGAUAAUUUCUGACGCGGCCCCACCCCAACCCCUAUAACUUUUGACCCAGGGGUCAGAUCAAAAUUCCAAAUAGUGCACCGUCGCACAUAUGCUCAUAGCUACCAUGUGUGUAAAUUUCAAGGUUCUAGUGCUUUUAGUGUAGGAGGAGAUAGUGGCCAGGACGGACGGACGGACAGACGGACGGACGGACGGACGGCGGAGAUCACCACAAUAUCCCCACCUUUUUUUCAAAAAG